rnacentral:rRNA from 1 species
UACGUAGGGUGCGAGCGUUGUCCGGAAUUAUUGGGCGUAAAGGGCUCGUAGGCGGUUUGUCGCGUCGGGAGUGAAAACACCGGGCUUAACUCGGUGCUUGCUUUCGAUACGGGCAGACUAGAGGCAUGCAGGGGAGAACGGAAUUCCUGGUGUAGCGGUGAAAUGCGCAGAUAUCAGGAGGAACACCGGUGGCGAAGGCGGGUCUCUGGGCCGAUACUGACGCUGAGGAGCGAAAGCGUGGGGGAGCGAACAGG